AGUGAACGCUGGCGGCGUGCCUAACACAUGCAAGUCGAACGAUGAUAAUGGCGCUUGCUCUAUCUGAUUAGUGGCGCACGGGUGAGUAAUGCAUAGAUAACGAGCACCUUAGUUCGGGAUCGCGACUGGAAACGGUGAUUAAUAUCGGAUACUCCUUCUUGUCUCAAGGCAAGUCGGGAAGGUUUUUCGCUAAGAGAUCAGUCUAUGUGCCAACAGGUAGUUGGUGAGGUAAUGGCUCACCAAGCCUAUGACGGAUAUCUGGUUUGAGAGGAUGAGCAGACACACUGGAACUGAGACACGGUCCAGACUCCUACGGGAGGCAGCAGUGAGGAAUAUUGCACAACGGAGGAAACUCUGAUGCAGCAACGCCGCGUGGAGGAUGACGCAUUUCGGUGUGUAAACUCCUUUUAUUAGAGAAGAUAAUGACGGUACCUAAUGAAUAAGCACCGGCUAACUCCGUGCCAGCAGCCGCGGUAA
rnacentral:rRNA from 1 species